rnacentral:piRNA from 1 species
ACUGCUUUUCCACAGAUUUCUUUGCCA